GAUGAACGCUAGCGGCAGGCCUAAUACAUGCAAGUCGAACGGUGUAGCAAUACACAGUGGCGCACGGGUGCGUAACACGUAUGCAACCUACCUAUUAUUGGGGGAUAGCCUUUGGAAACGGAGAUUAACACCGCAUAAGACAGUGACAUGGCAUCAUGUAGCUGUUAAAGCUUUGGCGAUAAUAGAUGGGCAUGCGUCCAAUUAGUUAGUUGGUGAGGUAAUGGCUCACCAAGACGAUGAUUGGUAGGGGAUCUGAGAGGAUAAUCCCCCACACUGGCACUGAGAUACGGGCCAGACUCCUACGGGAGGCAGCAGUAGGGAAUAUUGGGCAAUGGACGGAAGUCUGACCCAGCCAUGCCGCGUGCAGGAUGACGGCGUUAUGCGUUGUAAACUGCUUUUUUAUAGGAAGAAGAAGCCCUUGCGAGGGAAAGUGACGGUACUCGCAGAAUAAGCACCGGCUAACUCUGUGCCAGCCGCCGCGGUAAUAC
rnacentral:rRNA from 1 species